AACAUAAAUCCCAUAGGUGGUGCAGUAUUCUAGUCAACACGCUAUCCCUGAAGACGGGCCUAAAAAUCCGUCAAGGGCACACCGAUGAAGUUCCUGGUGUUGGCUUCUGACGCCCAGUCGGGGGUCAGUGCUGGGAGUUAAGGGAGAGGGGCGAUCCACAAAGGCAUGUGGGCGUUGACCCCGAUCCCGUGGAGGCCUGAAUUCCUUUUCUGGGGAAAAAGGAAUUCGGGUAAACCUGCAUGUAUGGAAAGAUGCAUGCAGUGUAGCCUGCUUUGAGUGGCUCAGGGGACAGUAGAAUGAUCCUGCUUUGGUACCGGGCAGGGUAAUGCUACUGGAAACCUGGGCUGCAAAAGAAGCUAGGGGAUAGGACAGUGUUGCCAAGGAAAACUUCUAGACUGUCCGGUGAUGGCCGGGGCAUACCAGGGAUUAAAGUGUGGUCUUAGUGGUAAUCCAGUCCUGUAGUGGGUGACCCUACAGUCGGGAUUUUAAAGGGAAACCGCUCCCCUGGUGACAGGGGAGCAAUCCCGGGGGAAAACCUACUGGACCUAAGCCGCAGCGUUUACCUGGUAUGCUACCACCUAUGGGUGAUUUUUA
rnacentral:sRNA from 1 species